rnacentral:lncRNA from 1 species
CUUUAUUCUGCCCCAGGCAGGCUGCAGUCACAGACACACGGGGAAUCCACUGAUGGCGUCGGUGCUCUGCAUGAUCAUGUCUGCCAGCAGAAAGCAGAAGCCUGGGGGGACGGGGGUGCGGAGCAGGGAGAGGAAGCCCUGCCCCUCGGAUCCUGGCCGAGUACCUCAAGCCCCUCCCCUGGCGACCAGGCCCCUCCAUCACCCAGGGCCCGCCCCUGCCUGCCCGCCUGGGGCGGUCUGCAGUCUCACCGCCGAGGAAGAGGAAGGCGCUCGUGGUCUGGCCCCGCAGCGACUCGCCCUCGUCGCACCGAAUCCGCAGUCCCAUCACCAUGCCCACCACGCCGACACCCACCGCCAGCACCAUGCACGCCACAGUCACCGCCAGCGUGGCUGGGGAGAGCGGGCGCAUCAGCCCCCGCGGGCGCCGCCCCAGUCACUACGGGUUCGGCCGCAACCGGAAGCUCUCCCGUCUCCUGCCCCCAACCCGGUGUGUGGCCAGGAGCCGAGCUCCACCGACCGGGAGUCAGGCGUUUGGAUUGAGACUUGGAGGUCACAUCAGGACCUGCGGUUACUGCCGCUACCAGGACGGGGAGGGGGUCG